GAUGAACGCUGGCGGCGUGCCUAAUACAUGCAAGUAGAACGCUGAAGCUUGGUGCUUGCACCGAGCGGAGGAGUUGCGAACGGGUGAGUAACGCGUAGGUAACCUGCCUCUUAGCGGGGGAUAACUAUUGGAAACGAUAGCUAAUACCGCAUAAAAGUCGAUAUCGCAUGAUAUUGACUUGAAAGGUGCAAAUGCAUCACUAAGAGAUGGACCUGCGUUGUAUUAGCUAGUUGGUGAGGUAACGGCUCACCAAGGCGACGAUACAUAGCCGACCUGAGAGGGUGAUCGGCCACACUGGGACUGAGACACGGCCCAGACUCCUACGGGAGGCAGCAGUAGGGAAUCUUUGGCAAUGGACGGAAGUCUGACCGAGCAACGCCGCGUGAGUGAAGAAGGUUUUCGGAUCGUAAAGCUCUGUUGUAAGAGAAGAACGAGUGUGAGAGUGGAAAGUUCACACUGUGACGGUAACUUACCAGAAAGGGACGGCUAAC
rnacentral:rRNA from 1 species